GAUGAAGAACGUAGCGAAAUGCGAUACGUAAUGUGAAUUGCAGAAUUCAGUGAAUCAUCGAAUCUUUGAACGCAUAUUGCGCUCUUUGGUAUUCCGAAGAGCAUGCUUGUUUGAGUAUCAGUAAACACCUCAAAGCUUUUGGAUUUUUUAAUCGAAAAGCUUUGGACUUGAGCAAUCCCAACACCAAUCUUUUUGAGAUCGGUGGCGGGUUGCUUGAAAUGUAGGUGCAGCUGGACAUUCUCCUGAGCUAAAAGCAUAUUCAUUUAGUCCCGUCAAACGGAUUAUUACUUUUGCUGCAGCUAACAUAAAGGGAGUUUGACCGUAUUGGCUGACUGAUGCAGGAUUUCACAAGGGUCGGCAACGAUUCUUGUUAAACUCGAUCUCAAAUCAAGUAAGACUACCCGCUGAACUUAAGCAUAUCAAUAAGCGGAGGA
rnacentral:misc_RNA from 1 species